GAGUUUGAUCAUGGCUCAGGAUGAACGCUGGCGGCGUGCGUAACACAUGCAAGUCGAACGAAGCAAUGAGACGGAAGUUUUCGGAUGGAAGAUUCAUUGACUGAGUGGCGGACGGGUGAGUAACGCGUGGGUAACCUGCCUCAUACAGGGGGAUAACAGUUGGGAACAGCUGCUAAUACCCCAUAAGCCUCCAGUUUCGCAUGGAACGGAAGGAAAAUAUUUAUAGGUAUGAGAUGGACCCGCGUCUGAUUAGCUAGUUGGUGAGGUAACGGCUCACCAAGGCAAUGAUCAGUAGCCGACUUGAGAGAGUGAUCGGCCACAUUGGGACUGAGACACGGCCCAAACUCCUACGGGAGGCAGCAGUGGGGAAUAUUGCACAAUGGGGGAAACCCUGAUGCAGCGACGCCGCGUGAGUGAAGAAGUAUUUCGGUAUGUAAAGCUCUAUCAGCAAGGAAGAUAAUGACGGUACUUGACUAAGAAGCCCCGGCUAACUACGUGCCAGCAGCCGCGGUAAUACGUAGGGGGCAAGCGUUAUCCGGAUUUACUGGGUGUAAAGGGAGCGUAGGUGGCAUGGUAAGUCAGAUGUGAAAGCCCAGGGCUCAACCCUGGGAUUGCAUUUGAAACUAUCAGGCUAGAGUGCAGGAGAGGUAAGUGGAAUUCCUAGUGUAGCGGUGAAAUGCGUAGAUAUUAGGAAGAACACCAGUGGCGAAGGCGGCUUACUGGACUGUCACUGACACUGAGGCUCGAAAGCGUGGGGAGCAAACAGGAUUAGAUACCCUGGUAGUCCACGCCGUAAACCAUGAAUACUAGGAGUCGGGGAGCAAAACUCCUCGGCGCCGCAGCAAACGCAUUAAGU
rnacentral:rRNA from 1 species